CCGUGCAAUUUGACGGCCACAGUCAAAGCCGAGGAACGUGUUGUUACGCAGGUUCAGGCCUGCCUGAUCCCGCGUAACAUACUCUUCCGCUUAGACUGCUCCUUCCCAAGCAGCACGGGGUUCUUCUUAGAUCAUAACAAUGCGAACGCCUCAGUUUGGCCGGCCAAAUUAAUUUUCGGACCGGAAACAGUACAUUAUUGAGAUGUCUGCUGAUCUGCGACCUGUGGCAAUUUUUGACGCGGUCAUUUCCGUUCUUCCGCAACAAGUCAGUUGUGGAUUGGUCAAGAACGAAAGUCUCUACAAACGUCCUGUCACGAGUCUCUGUAAGAAUUGCUGAUACUUCUGAAUCGAAGAACACGGACCAACCAGCGUCUCCAGGAUCGCCCACUCGUCAUCACGCUGACUCCGACACUGUCCUCACCAUCGUAGAAGCAGAGCCUCAGGUUACAGCCGACAACUGAAGACGAUACUACUAGAGGAAUAGAUCCCUGAGUGCAGUGAAUCUAUUGUCGUCACGAUGACACUCGGCGAAUGUCACAAUUCACCCUGUAACGAAUGUGACCCUAUAUUCGUUGAAAAUCAGUGCAGCCAUGAUACUGGCGUCCCUGUGUUUCAUCUCUCUGUCCCUGUCGAACUCACGGGGCGUUCCGUGUGGGUGCGAGAGAAACCGGGCGACAAAACGCGCUGUUCACUGCCUAAUGGCCGACCGCGCCAGCCCUAGGCUGGAGGGCCCCACCCACUCCACGCGC